UACAGAGGGUGCGAGCGUUAAUCGGAAUUACUGGGCGUAAAGAGCGCGCAGGCGGUCGUUCAAGUCGAGUGUGAAAGCCCCCGGCUCAACUGGGGAGGGUCACUCGAUACUGAUCGACUCGAAGGCAGAAGAGGGAAGCGGAAUUCCCGGUGUAGUGGUGAAAUGCGUAGAUAUCGGGAGGAACACCAGUGGCGAAGGCGGCUUUCUGGUCUGCUCUUGACGCUGAGGCGCGAAAGCUAGGGUAGCAAACGGG
rnacentral:rRNA from 1 species